GAGAGAGGCGCGAAGCAUCAAAGACUGCUAAUCUUUGCCACCCAAGUUAAACCCUUGGGCUCACUCG
rnacentral:tRNA from 1 species